rnacentral:ncRNA from 1 species
GGCGUGGUUGGGUAUGAAGUUACCCUAGGCACCAAAAUGAAACACAGUACAUACGCCUGAACCGCUCAACGAGCUGAUGACUUCUGCAGAGAU